rnacentral:tRNA from 1 species
AAGGCCUUAAGUUAACUAAACUAGAGACCUUCAAAGUCCCCAAUAAAGAAUAGAUCUUUAGGUCUUA